GUUAUAUGGUCAAGUGAAGAAGCGCAUACGGUGGAUGCCUUGGCAGUCAGAGGCGAUGAAAGACGUGGUAGCCUGCGAAAAGCUUCGGGGAGUCGGCAAACAGACUGUGAUCCGGAGAUGUCUGAAUGGGGGAACCCAGCCAUCAUAAGAUGGUUAUCUUGUACUGAAUACAUAGGUGCAAGAUCGGCAAACAGACUGUGAUCCGGAGAUGUCUGAAUGGGGGAACCCAGCCAUCAUAAGAUGGUUAUCUUGUACUGAAUACAUAGGUGCAAGAGGCGAACCAGGGGAACUGAAACAUCUAAGUACCCUGAGGAAAAGAAAUCAACCGAGAUUCCCUUAGUAGUGGCGAGCGAACGGGGUGCGAACCAGGGGAACUGAAACAUCUAAGUACCCUGAGGAAAAGAAAUCAACCGAGAUUCCCUUAGUAGUGGCGAGCGAACGGGGACCAGCCCUUAAGUUGUAUUGAGAUUAGCGGAACGUUCUGGAAAGGACGGCCAUAGUGGGUGAUAGCCCUGUACGCGAAAAUCCCUUUGCAAUGAAAUCGAGUAGGACGGGGCACGAGAAACCUUGUCUGAAUAUGGGGGGACCAUCCUCCAAGGCUAAAUACUACUGACUGACCGAUAGUGAACCAGUACCGUGAGGGAAAGGCGAAAAGAACCGCGGAGAGCGGAGUGAAAUAGAUCCUGAAACCGUAUGCGUACAAGCAGUGGGAGCCCACUUUGUUGGGUGACUGCGUACCUUUUGUAUAAUGGGUCAGCGACUUAUUUUCAGUGGCGAGCUUAACCGAAUAGGGGAGGCGUAGCGAAAGCGAGUCUUAAUAGGGCGUCUAGUCGCUGGGAAUAGACCCGAAACCGGGCGAUCUAUCCAUGGGCAGGUUGAAGGUUGGGUAACACUAACUGGAGGACCGAACCGACUACCGUUGAAAAGUUAGCGGAUGACCUGUGGAUCGGAGUGAAAGGCUAAUCAAGCUCGGAGAUAGCUGGUUCUCCUCGAAAGCUAUUUAGGUAGCGCCUCAUGUAUCACUGUAGGGGGUAGAGCACUGUUUCGGCUAGGGGGUCAUCCCGACUUACCAAACCGAUGCAAACUCCGAAUACCUACAAGUGCCGAGCAUGGGAGACACACGGCGGGUGCUAACGUCCGUCGUGAAAAGGGAAACAACCCAGACCGUCAGCUAAGGUCCCAAAGUCAUGGUUAAGUGGGAAACGAUGUGGGAAGGCUUAGACAGCUAGGAGGUUGGCUUAGAAGCAGCCACCCUUUAAAGAAAGCGUAAUAGCUCACUAGUCGAGUCGGCCUGCGCGGAAGAUGUAACGGGGCUCAAACCAUGCACCGAAGCUACGGGUAUCAUCUUAGGAUGAUGCGGUAGAGGAGCGUUCUGUAAGCCUGUGAAGGUGAGUUGAGAAGCUUGCUGGAGGUAUCAGAAGUGCGAAUGCUGACAUGAGUAACGACAAUGGGUGUGAAAAACACCCACGCCGAAAGACCAAGGUUUCCUGCGCAACGUUAAUCGACGCAGGGUUAGUCGGUCCCUAAGGCGAGGCUGAAAAGCGUAGUCGAUGGAAAACAGGUUAAUAUUCCUGUACUUCUGGUUAUUGCGAUGGAGGGACGGAGAAGGCUAGGCCAGCCUGGCGUUGGUUGUCCAGGUUUAAGGUGGUAGGCUGAGAUCUUAGGUAAAUCCGGGAUCUGAAGGCCGAGAGCUGAUGACGAGUGUUCUUUAGAACACGAAGUGGUUGAUGCCAUGCUUCCAAGAAAAGCUUCUAAGCUUCAGGUAACCAGGAACCGUACCCCAAACCGACACAGGUGGUUGGGUAGAGAAUACCAAGGCGCUUGAGAGAACUCGGGUGAAGGAACUAGGCAAAAUGGCACCGUAACUUCGGGAGAAGGUGCGCCGGUGAGGGUGAAGCAUUUACUGCGUAAGCCCACGCCGGUCGAAGAUACCAGGCCGCUGCGACUGUUUAUUAAAAACACAGCACUCUGCAAACACGAAAGUGGACGUAUAGGGUGUGACGCCUGCCCGGUGCCGGAAGGUUAAUUGAUGGGGUUAGCGCAAGCGAAGCUCUUGAUCGAAGCCCCGGUAAACGGCGGCCGUAACUAUAACGGUCCUAAGGUAGCGAAAUUCCUUGUCGGGUAAGUUCCGACCUGCACGAAUGGCGUAACGAUGGCGGCGCUGUCUCCACCCGAGACUCAGUGAAAUUGAAAUCGCUGUGAAGAUGCAGUGUAUCCGCGGCUAGACGGAAAGACCCCGUGAACCUUUACUAUAGCUUUGCACUGGACUUUGAAUUUGCUUGUGUAGGAUAGGUGGGAGGCUUUGAAGCGUGGACGCCAGUCUGCGUGGAGCCAACCUUGAAAUACCACCCUGGCAACUUUGAGGUUCUAACUCAGGUCCGUUAUCCGGAUCGAGGACAGUGUAUGGUGGGUAGUUUGACUGGGGCGGUCUCCUCCUAAAGAGUAACGGAGGAGUACGAAGGUGCGCUCAGACCGGUCGGAAAUCGGUCGUAGAGUAUAAAGGCAAAAGCGCGCUUGACUGCGAGACAGACACGUCGAGCAGGUACGAAAGUAGGUCUUAGUGAUCCGGUGGUUCUGUAUGGAAGGGCCAUCGCUCAACGGAUAAAAGGUACUCCGGGGAUAACAGGCUGAUACCGCCCAAGAGUUCAUAUCGACGGCGGUGUUUGGCACCUCGAUGUCGGCUCAUCACAUCCUGGGGCUGAAGCCGGUCCCAAGGGUAUGGCUGUUCGCCAUUUAAAGUGGUACGCGAGCUGGGUUUAGAACGUCGUGAGACAGUUCGGUCCCUAUCUGCCGUGGACGUUUGAGAUUUGAGAGGGGCUGCUCCUAGUACGAGAGGACCGGAGUGGACGAACCUCUGGUGUUCCGGUUGUCACGCCAGUGGCAUUGCCGGGUAGCUAUGUUCGGAAAAGAUAACCGCUGAAAGCAUCUAAGCGGGAAACUUGCCUCAAGAUGAGAUCUCACUGGAACCUUGAGUUCCCUAAAGGGCCGUCGAAGACUACGACGUUGAUAGGUUGGGUGUGUAAGCGCUGUGAGGCGUUGAGCUAACCAAUACUAAUUGCCCGUGAGGCUUGACCAUAUAACACCCAAGCAAUU
rnacentral:rRNA from 1 species